rnacentral:rRNA from 1 species
AGCAGCCGCGGUAAUCCCGGCGGCCCGAGUGGCGGUCACUAUUAUUUGGCUUAAAGCGUCCGUAGCCGGGGUGGGAAGUCCUCCGGGAAAUCUGGCCGCUUAACGGUCAGAAUGCCGGAGGAUACUCCCAGCCUAGGGAGCGGGAGAGGCCGAGGGGAUUCCCGGGGUAGGGGUGAAAUCCUAUAAUCCCGGGAGGACCACCUGUGGGGAAGGCGCUCGGCUGGAACGCGGCCGACGGUGAGGGACGAAGGCCAGGGGAGCAAACCGGAUUAGAUACCCGGGUAGUCCUGGCGGUAAACGAUGCGGACUUUGUGUCGGACAAGCUAUGAGCUUGUCCGGUGCCGGAGGGAAACCGUUAAGUCCGCCGCCUGGGGAGUACGGCCGCAAGGCUGAAACUUAAAGGAAUUGGCGGG